rnacentral:rRNA from 1 species
UAGCCGGUACUCGCGAAUGAACUAGGNUUUAAUUUGAUCAUGGCUCAGAUCCAACGCUGGUUAGCAGGCCUAACACAUGCAAGUCGAGCGGAUGACGGGAGCUUGCUCCUUGAUUCAGCGGCGGACGGGUGAGUAAUGCCUAGGAAUCUGCCUGGUAGUGGGGGACAACGUUUCGAAAGGAACGCUAAUACCGCAUACGUCCUACGGGAGAAAGCAGGGGACCUUCGGGCCUUGCGCUAUCAGAUGAGCCUAGGUCGGAUUAGCUAGUUUGGUGAGGUAAUGGCUCACCAAGGCGACGAUCCGUAACUGGUCUGAGAGGAUGAUCAGUCACACUGGAAACUUGAGACACGGUCCAAGACUCCUACGGGAGGCAAGGCAGUGGGGGAAUAUUGGACAAUUGGGGCGAAAGCCUGAUCCCAGCCAUGCCGCGUGUGGUGAAAGAAGUCUUCGGAUUGUAAGCGACUUUAAGGUUGGGGAAGCGAAGGGCAAGUAAAGUUANAUACCUUGCUGUUUUGACGGUUNACCGAACAGAAUAAGCACCGGGCUAAACUCUGUGACCCCACCAAGCACCGCCGGGUUAAUUACAAGGCAAGGGGUGCACAGGCGUUUAAUUCCGGAAAUUAACUUGGGGCGUUUAAAGCGCCGUCGUAAGGUUGNUUCAGUAGAAGUGUUGGGGAUGUAAAGGCCCCCGGGCUCAAGCCUGAGGGAACUCGGGCUUCACAAAAUUGGCGAAGCUUAANAUUACCGGUUACGAAGGGUGGUNGAAUUUCCUUGUGUUAGCGGUNAAGUGCGUNUGACUCAUUGGAAGAACACCC